rnacentral:rRNA from 1 species
UACAGAGGUCCCAAGCGUUGUUCGGACUCACUGGGCGUAAAGGGUGCGUAGGCGGUCGGGUAAGUCUGAUGUGAAAUCUCACAGCUUAACUGUGAAACUGCAUUGGAUACUAUCCGGCUAGAGGAAUGGAGGGGAGACUGGAAUACUUGGUGUAGCAGUGAAAUGCGUAGAUAUCAAGUGGAACACCAGUGGCGAAGGCGAGUCUCUGGACAUUUCCUGACGCUGAGGCACGAAAGCCAGGGGAGCAAACGGG